rnacentral:rRNA from 1 species
GACGAACGCUGGCGGCGUGCCUAAUACAUGCAAGUAGAACGCAGUUGCGAACGGGUGAGUAACGCGUAGGUAACUGCCUCAUAGCGGGGGAUAACUAUUGGAAACGAUAGCUAAUACCGCAUACUGUGAGAUGGACCUGCGUUGUAUUUGCUAGUUGGUGAGGUAAAGGCUCACCAAGGCGACGAUACAUAGCCUACCUGAGAGGGUGAUCAGCCACACUGGAACGGAGACACGGCCCAGACUCCUACGGUAGGUAGCAGUAGGGAAUCUUCGGCAAUUGACGGAAGUCUGACCGAGAAACGCCGCGUGAGUGAAGAAGGGUAUCGGAUCGUAAAGCUCUGUUGUUAGAAUAGCGGUAUAUAUCCAGAAUGGGACGGCUAACUACGUGCCAGCGGCCGCGGUAUUU